CUUGCCUGCCCACGUAUCUAACUGGCUGAAAACAAGGAAGAAUGGAGCGUAUUGACUGAUAAUCAAGACCUAGGAGAGAGGGAAGAAGGCUAAUGAAAUUAAGGUCACCCUGGAAGAAGAGGAAUGUUAGGGUUUUCUUCCAGUAGCAGACACACUUUCAUGAUCUUCCAGACACAAAAGUCUAUGUAACCAAUAAUUACAACAACAAUAACAACAACAACAAAAAUGGCCAUGUGAAGAUAGAGAUAUACAUGGAAAAUGCCAUGGACUGCAAAGCAAAGAUUAGAGUCAUGCAACUGCAGACCAAGAAAUGCUAAAGAUUGCUGGCAAACCAGCAGAACCUAUGAAAUGAAGACCCCUGCAAAUCUGAUGGGAUGCCAGCAGAAUAACUGGUGCAACUGAGGGAAAUGGCAGAAGGAAACCAAAAGAAAACAUGAGGUGGAAAGCAGAGGGUAUUUUGUGGUGGUAUGUAGUUGAAUACUGAUCUAUCAUGUAGUUUUGUCCCUCUGCUGGUUUCUCCUCCAUCUAUCCAACCCCCUGCCAUUCAUCCAUUUAUCUUGUGUUUGGAAUAAAAAGACAUUUGAU